AGAGUUUGAUCCUGGCUCAGGACGAACGGCUGGCGGCGUGCCUAACACAUGCAAGUCGAACGGACUUUUCAUGAAGCCUAGCGAUUGAAAAGUUAGUGGCGGACGGGUGAGUAACGCGUGGGUAACCUGCCUUGUACUGGGGGACAACAGUUGGAAACGACUGCUAAUACCGCAUAAGCGCACAGCUUCGCAUGAAGCAGUGUGAAAAACUCCGGUGGUACAAGAUGGACCCGCGUCUGAUUAGCUGGUUGGUGAGGUAACGGCCCACCAAGGCGACGAUCAGUAGCCGGCCUGAGAGGGUGAACGGCCACAUUGGGACUGAGACACGGCCCAAACUCCUACGGGAGGCAGCAGUGGGGAAUAUUGCACAAUGGGGGAAACCCUGAUGCAGCAACGCCGCGUGAGUGAAGAAGUAUUUCGGUAUGUAAAGCUCUAUCAGCAGGAAAGAAAAUGACGGUACCUGACUAAGAAGCCCCGGCUAACUACGUGCCAGCAGCCGCGGUAAUACGUAGGGGGCAAGCGUUAUCCGGAUUUACUGGGUGUAAAGGGAGCGUAGACGGUUUUGCAAGUCUGAAGUGAAAGCCCGGGGCUUAACCCCGGGACUGCUUUGGAAACUGUAGAACUAGAGUGCAGGAGAGGUAAGUGGAAUUCCUAGUGUAGCGGUGAAAUGCGUAGAUAUUAGGAGGAACACCAGUGGCGAAGGCGGCCUGCUGGACGACAACUGACGCUGAGGCGCGAAAGCGUGGGGAGCAAACAGGAUUAGAUACCCUGGUAGUCCACGCUGUAAACGAUGAAUACUAGGUGUGGGGGGACUGACCCCUUCCGUGCCGCAGUUAACACAAUAAGUAUUCCACCUGGGGAGUACGAUCGCAAGAUUGAAACUCAAAGGAAUUGACGGGGGCCCGCACAAGCAGUGGAUUAUGUGGUUUAAUUCGACGCAACGCGAAGAACCUUACCGGGAUUUGACAUCCUACUAACGAGGUAGAGAUACAUUAGGUGCCCUUCGGGGAAAGUAGAGACAGGUGGUGCAUGGUUGUCGUCAGCUCGUGUCGUGAGAUGUUGGGUUAAGUCCCGCAACGAGCGCAACCCCUAUUGUUAGUUGCUACGAAAGAGCACUCUAGCGAGACUGCCGUUGACAAAACGGAGGAAGGUGGGGACGACGUCAAAUCAUCAUGCCCCUUAUGUCCCGGGCUACACACGUAAUACAAUGGCGAUCAACAGAGGGAAGCAAAGCCGCGAGGCAGAGCAAAACCCUAAAAGUCGUCUCAGUUCGGAUUGCAGGCUGAAACCCGCCUGCAUGAAGUUGGAAUUGCUAGUAAUCGCGGAUCAGCAUGCCGCGGUGAAUACGUUCCCGGGCCUUGCACUCACCGCCCGUCA
rnacentral:rRNA from 1 species